rnacentral:rRNA from 1 species
GACGAACGCUGGCGGCGUGCCUAAUACAUGCAAGUCGAGCGAAUCAAAGGGAGCUUGCUCCCAGAGAUUAGCGGCGGACGGGUGAGUAACACGUGGGCAACCUGCCCUGUAGACUGGGAUAACACCGAGAAAUCGGUGCUAAUACUGGAUAACACCUUUCUUCUCAUGGAGGAAGGUUAAAAGUUGGGAUUACUAACACUACAGGAUGGGCCCGCGGCGCAUUAGCUAGUUGGUAAGGUAAUGGCUUACCAAGGCGACGAUGCGUAGCCGACCUGAGAGGGUGAUCGGCCACACUGGGACUGAGACACGGCCCAGACUCCUACGGGAGGCAGCAGUAGGGAAUCUUCCGCAAUGGACGAAAGUCUGACGGAGCAACGCCGCGUGAGUGACGAAGGUUUUCGGAUCGUAAAGCUCUGUUGUUAGGGAAGAACAAGUGCCGUUCGAAUAGGUCGGCACCUUGACGGUACCUAACCAGAAAGCCACGGCUAACUACGUGCCAGCCGCCGCGGUAAGAC